AGUGAACGCUGGCGGCAGGCCUAACACAUGCAAGUCGAACGGCAGCACAGGAGAGCUUGCUCUCUGGGUGGCGAGUGGCGGACGGGUGAGGAAUAUAUCGGAAUCUACCCUUUCGUGGGGGAUAACGUAGGGAAACUUACGCUAAUACCGCAUACGAACUGAGGUUGAAAGCGGCGGACCGCAAGGCGUCGCGCGGAUGGAUGAGCCGAUAUCCGAUUAGCUAGUUGGCGGGGUAAAGGCCCACCAAGGCGACGAUCGGUAGCUGGUCUGAGGGGAUGAUCAGCCACACUGGAACUGAGACACGGUCCAGACUCCUACGGGAGGCAGCAGUGGGGAAUAUUGGACAAUGGGCGCAAGCCUGAUCCAGCCAUGCCGCGUGUGUGAAGAAGGCCUUCGGGUUGUAAAGCACUUUUGUUGGGAAAGAAAAGCGGUCGGUUAAUACCCGGUCGUUCUGACGGUACCCAAAGAGUAAGCACCGGCUAACUUCGUGCCAGCCGCCGCGGUAA
rnacentral:rRNA from 1 species